rnacentral:tRNA from 1 species
GCAUAGGUGGUGUAAGGCCUAGCAUGGCUGCUCGGAAAGCAGAUGGUGUGGGUUCGAGUCCCGCCUGGAGCA